rnacentral:rRNA from 1 species
AACCUGCCUUGGAGUGGGGAAUAACACAGUGAAAAUUGUGCUAAUACCGCAUAAUGCAGUUGGGUCGCAUGACUCUGACUGCCAAAGAUUUAUCGCUCUGAGAUGGCCUCGCGUCUGAUUAGCUAGUUGGUGGGGUAACGGCCCACCAAGGCGACGAUCAGUAGCCGGACUGAGAGGUUGGCCGGCCACAUUGGGACUGAGACACGGCCCAG